GAUUAACGCUGGCGGCGUGCAUAACACAUGCAAGUCGAACGAUGAAACUUAGUAGACUUCUUCGGAAAGACACUAAGCGGCUUAGUGGCGAACGGGUGAGUAACGCGUGAGUAACCUGCCUUACACAAGGGGAUAGCCUUUGGAAACGAAGAAUAAUACCCUAUAAAACCAUAAAAGCACAUGCUAGAAUGGUCAAAGUGAUAGCGGUGUAAGAUGGACUUGCGUCUGAUUAGCUAGUUGGUGAGAUAAAAGCUCACCAAGGCAACGAUCAGUAGCCGGCUUGAGAGAGUGUACGGCCACAUUGGGACUGAGACACGGCCCAGACUCCUACGGGAGGCAGCAGUGGGGAAUUUUGCACAAUGGGGGAAACCCUGAUGCAGCGACGCCGCGUGAUUGAGAAGGCCUUCGGGUUGUAAAAAUCUUUUGUAUAGGAAGAAAAUGACAGUACUAUACGAAUAAGGUCCGGCUAAUUACGUG
rnacentral:rRNA from 1 species